AUUGAACGCUGGCGGCAUGCUUUACACAUGCAAGUCGAACGGUAACAGGCCGCCAGGUGCUGACGAGUGGCGAACGGGUGAGUAAUGCAUCGGAACGUGCACAGUCGUGGGGGAUAACUACUCGAAAGAGUAGCUAAUACCGCAUACGCUCUAUGGAUGAAAGCGGGGGACCGUAAGGCCUCGCGCGAUUGGAGCGGCCGAUGUCAGAUUAGGUAGUUGGUGGGGUAAAGGCUCACCAAGCCAACGAUCUGUAGCUGGUCUGAGAGGACGACCAGCCACACUGGGACUGAGACACGGCCCAGACUCCUACGGGAGGAAGCAGUGGGGAAUUUUGGACAAUGGGCGCAAGCCUGAUCCAGCAAUGCCGCGUGCAGGAAGAGGGCCUUCGGGUUGUAAACUGCUUUUGUACGGAACGAAACGGCUCUGGUUAAUACCCGGGGCUAAUGACGGUACCGUAAGAAUAAGCACCGGCUAACUACGUG
rnacentral:rRNA from 1 species